rnacentral:rRNA from 1 species
AUUGAACGCUGGCGGCAGGCCUAACACAUGCAAGUCGAACGAGUGGCGGACGGGUGAGUAAUGUCUGGGAAACUGCCCGAUGGAGGGGGAUAACUACUGGAAACGGUAGCUAAUACCGCAUACCAUCGGAUUUGCCCAGAUGGGAUUAGCUAGUAGGUGGGGUAAAGGCUCACCUAGGCGACGAUCCCUAGCUGGUCUGAGAGGAUGACCAGCAAGGCGGGAACUGGUACAAGGUCCAGACUCCUAAGGUAGGCAGCAGUGGGGAAUAUUGCACAAUGGGCGCAAGCCUGAUGCCGCCAUGCCGCGUGUAUGAAGAAGGCCUUCGGGUUGGAAAGUACUUUCAGCGGGGAGGCGUUACCCGCAGAAGAAGCACCGGCUAACUCCGUGCCAGCAGCCGCGGUAAUAC